CUUUUGCAACAAACAAAAAAUAACAAUGUUUUGGUUUCGGUUGACGGAUCAAAAGCUGUAAUUCAUUUUAUUUUGAGCCGAUGAUCCUAAAUUGGACAACUACACGAAUGCAGAUAUCUUUUCUAUGUACACAUCAAGUUAUUUCUAUCGUGGCGUGAAGAAAAACAGUUUUUUCGAUGACUUACCUUAUAGCUUGCUCGGUUCUGAGGCUAUGCCCUUGCAGCAAGCUAGCGGCGAUAUAAAGUUGGGUAGCGACAAUUAUGCGUGGUCUGCAGGGAAUUUUUGUUUUCGUCCCAAGAAAGGUGACAAGAACAAGCUAGGACAAGCCGGAAUUAUGGCACAACUCAUAUACUACGGUAAAUGCAAAAAUUUUCAAUGCAUAUAAAAAUUUUCAAUGCAAUAUUGCGUGUAUUGCAGACAUUAAAAUGCAGCUGUAGACGCAGUUCCGGUAAUUAUAGGCAGAUUAGUAACGCUUUAUGUGUUCUUAACUAGCGUUCUAGGAUGAGAUCUUUGUUUCGCUUACAAUUUACUGUCAGUCAAUUUUCAAUAUAACAAUGGAUAUGCACCAUUGCACCCCCUUGGGAUAUGCCCCAACAAAUUUGCGUGCAUUGAGAUUAAAUAAAAUUUAUUUUAAAAGAGGAGGACGUUCUAUACAGUGCUUACUCAUGUGGUGACAAAUGAUUUCUCCCUUGUGGUUUUACAGUUUAUAUCACAAUAAAGGAAUCCUUUUGGUUGCUUUGAAGAAUGUUUGAUAAUAUCUUACUGAGAAUAGGUAAACAAGGCCUGAUCCUAUGAAGUGGUACUGGAUAUGAAUUUGACUUAGGGCUCAUGUCCACAUUCAAAUUGCCAUGCAAAAUGACAAAUUGACAUUUGGUUAACUAGACCCAUGGGCUCCAGCACUCUGCCCUUGACAAGG